rnacentral:lncRNA from 1 species
CCUGCUUAGUGGGCUUUUUAAAAUUUUACAAUUUUUUUAUUUGAUUUUCAGCUUAAUGGGCUAAAAAUAAGUGGUUCUUAAAGUGUUGUGGAUAUGGAGAGUCUAGAGGAUUACAGAGGACGUUUGAAGAUAUGUUUGGUGGAGAUUUAGCAAAGAUGAUGGAUUUAACACCUCAUAUUCUGUCUGAACACGCGCAGCACAAAUUUUCCUUUCUCAAAGAUGCUAUCAAGACUAAUAGAGAAAGCACCUUUUAAUCUGGUCUUGUUCUAUAGCCAGACCAGUAGGUUUCUUGAUUCUCUCGGUAUCCAUAUUUGGUGAAUUGACACCCUUACUAAGCAUGUGAAUAAGCAUUAGUACACUUCCAUGUCCUGAUGGUGAUCGCCGGUUGUAGC